UGAGACCGUGAACAGGAGAGAGACAGGACUCUGUUGAAGAAUAUUAUUAAAGUUUGGAAAGACUUGAAAACCCUGAGAGACUUUCAGAAGUUCACCAACACACCAUACAGACUCCAGCUCAGACAGUACAAAUAAUCAUACAGAGAUAUUAGACCCUGAAAUGGAUGAGCAGAAGUAUGAGAGGGAGAUUAUGGCCGAGGUGAUAGAGUUGGAGUUAGAAGCUAAACAGGAGUAUAAAAGAAAGUGGGACGACUACAACACACAGUUGGAUAAGUGGAAACUGUGGAGAAGGAAACAGGUACCCACAGCCUACGUGCUGACAUAUGAUCAGAAUCGAUACCUGAUCUGGAGCCCGAGCAGUGGACAGCAUUAUGACCAGUACGACACCUUCUGGCCCCUACAGACUGUGGGCUGCCUGGUCGACGCUCACAAUGUCUGGUUUAACAUUCAACAGUACAGCUCCCCAAUGAGAAUGAGUUUUGACACAUCUGACACAAAUCUGUGGCGGUCAUUUUUCUCGUUGUAGUUUCUUCACACU